CAGAAUUAAAACAUUUGACGUGGUUUUUCCAACUGAUAUAGCAGAGUUGACUCCUGAGUCCACUCUGACUCCAGAAGCAUCGGAAGCUGUCAGAGAGGAGCCAUGGUCACCAUCUCUGAACCGGACCCUGGACUCUCUGAGGAACCUGAGGACACAUCUUUGGACCGGAGGGAGCGCAGGAAGAGAAGAUUUGCUGGUAGAGCAAAGAAAAAGGCAAAGCUCAGAAGCCGUGGAAGCCGUCAGAGAGGAGCCAUGGUCACCAUCUCUGACCCGGACACGUCUUUGGACCGGGAGGAGACCAGGAAGAGAAGAUUUGCUCUAUGGUUUCACAUCACUUUCAUUGUGAGCAUCGGACUGCUGAGUAUUCUCCU